UGCGAGAUGGUUGUUGGCUACCACGCGGGUUUCAUAAGCCUGCUCACGUCCGUUCGAUUCGGGCUCUCGCAUCCA
rnacentral:tRNA from 1 species